UACGGAGGGGGCUAGCGUUGUUCGGAAUUACUGGGCGUAAAGGGCGCGUAGGCGGCCUUCUAAGUCGAACGUGAAAUCCCCGGGCUCAACCCGGGAACUGCGUCCGAUACUGGAAGGCUUGAAUCCGGGAGAGGGAUGCGGAAUUCCAGGUGUAGCGGUGAAAUGCGUAGAUAUCUGGAGGAACACCGGUGGCGAAGGCGGUCUGCUGGGCCGUUGCUGACGCUGAGGCGCGACAGCGUGGGGAGCAAACAGG
rnacentral:rRNA from 1 species